UCCCCUCCAGUGUCGUCGCCGACCAGCCGACUCAUCACCGCUGCGGGCCACCGUGCGACGACCGCCGCACGCCUCCCAGCAGCCGAUCCUCCUUGCUCUGCAUCCGUAGUGCCAGAAACAGGGCAACUCACCGGUUGCCCUUGUUCCCAACCGUGACACCGCCGACUCCUCCUUCUCCACCGCUGCCGCUGCUUCUCGGCCGCACGAUCAUCGCCGCGCCGCCGUUGCCAGCAUCGCCAGCGGCUCCGGCUGUGGUACGACAGAAACAGAGCACCCUGUUUCCCAUCUCCAGCAUCGCAACUUCCCGGCCAGCGACGACGCUCGCUGCCUUUUUCUCCACCGCCAAUGCUGCGCUCCGGCUAG
rnacentral:lncRNA from 1 species